rnacentral:rRNA from 1 species
UCCCAGACUCCUACGGGAGGCAGCAGUGGGGAAUAUUGCACAAUGGGGGAAACCCUGAUGCAGCGACGCCGCGUGAGUGAAGAAGUAAUUCGUUAUGUAAAGCUCUAUCAGCAGGGAAGAAAAUGACGGUACCUGACUAAGAAGCCCCGGCUAACUACGUGCCAGCAGCCGCGGUAAUACGUAGGGGGCAAGCGUUAUCCGGAUUUACUGGGUGUAAAGGGAGCGUAGACGGCGGCGCAAGCCAGAUGUGAAAGCCCGGGGCUCAACUCCGGGACUGCAUUUGGAACUGUGUGGCUGGAGUGUCGGAGAGGCAGGCGGAAUUCCUAGUGUAGCGGUGAAAUGCGUAGAUAUUAGGAGGAACACCAGUGGCGAAGGCGGCCUGCUGGACGAUGACUGACGUUGAGGCUCGAAAGCGUGGGGAGCAAACAGGAUUAGAUACCCCCGUAAAU